GAGGGUAUAGCUCAAGUGGUAGAGCACAUGCUUAGCGUGCAUGAGGCCCUGGGUUCAAUCCCCAGUAUCUCCU
rnacentral:tRNA from 1 species